CGACGACGAGAAGAUGAUGAUGACGAUGAUGAUGAUGAUGAUGAUAAUGAUGAUGAAGAUGAAGAUGAAGAUGAUGAUGAUGAUAAUGAUGACGAUGACGACGACGACGAUGAUAAUGACGAUGAUAAUGACAAUGGAAAUGAUGACAACGGCGACGAUAUCGACGGCGGCGUUUCGCGUCGGAGAACGCGCGCGACUGACGCGGCGACGACAACAGCAGUAGCAACAGCAGCAACAAUCUCAGUAACAAUAACAGCAACAGCAACGAUGACGAUAAUAAUGAUAGUAGUAUAAGUAACAAUAGCCGUAGUAUAGUAUAGUAAUAUAGACAUGAUGAUAAUAAUAUCUUUAUUUCAAUGAGAGAGAGAGAGACAGAGCGAAGGCUCGUCCUCCGCGCGUAACUUUUGGAAGCUAUUUCUUGUUUUCUUUCCUCGCAAAGUGGUUUUUCUCUCAGAAUCACCCCAUGAAACUUCACGAAUCCCCCUGCACAUCGUUAUAAUAAUCGCCUUCUCCCAGUGUAACCGUUCUGGACUUGAAGGAUAUGUGUGUACGCGCGUCGUCGCGAUAUCGUCCACGUCGGCCUCAUGAGACGCGAUCGCCACCGUCAUCGCCGACAUCGUCGUCACCGAGCGCAAUUAGUGAUCGCUAAUUGCCGCUCUCUUCUUCUUCUCCUUCUUCUUCUUCCUCCCUUCGUCAGAUUCGCGUUUUAUCACACUUAAUGUAAAUAUAAGGGCGACAUCAUGUCUGAGGAAUGUGUGUGUUCGAGCGUGUCUAUGUGUGUGCGUGGGCGCGGACUCAGCGCGCUUGCGAUGAAUCUAUCGUAUCACUAAUCAGCACGAACCCAGGGAAAGAGAGGACAUUGGAAAGACAGACAGAUGCGACGCGCGCGUCCACCUGCGUCGCUUCUCGCGCUACAUUGGUCGUGGGCGAGGUCGUGUUUCCGCAUGGGAUCAGUACGAGUCGAGUCACAUAGGAAACACGGGGGAGUGGAGCGGGGGCCGUUCGCGUGGAGAUUACCAGUGAUCCCCGUGCGUAUCGAGUAUUAAACGUACUUUUAUCCUAAAGCCGGUACGAUCCUUUGUGCUCUUAGCGUCGCGAGAAAGAGUAUUUGCGAGGAUAUAGUUGCCUUAAGUCUACACAUUGUGCAGCGAGUAUAUUCUUUUUACAAUAGAAAAGCGCUUGAUGGUCAUGAUAUCGAUCUCAAUGCGUCAAUGAACCUAUUAACAUUUGAAGAGACAAAGAAGAUGGAGAAACGAGAAAAAUGUAACCAGGAGCAGAAAGAAACAAGAGGAAAGACAGAUAUACAGAGAGAAGUAAAGAACGACAAGACACGGAGAUGGAUAUACCGUGUGUAUAUCAGAAAAGAAGGGAAAUUAAUAACGAAAGGAAUGAUAACGUGAGAGAGUCGCGAUGACAACGGAGAGAUAUUCUCGGUCGGGAACCACUGGAUUUUGACAUGUCGAAAAGGAUACACUCCGAUGCCUCUGUUCGCGACAAACACGUUACAAACGGACACUACAAAAGCGCGAGUCUUCCGUUGUCGGACGAUGUGGGGGGAGAGGAGGGCGAAAGAUGCGUACAAAUGCGGAUACAGGAUAAAGGAUGCGCCUGCGUGAUGGUGCAUACGAAACGAUUGCUAAAACUUCUAAGAACAUCCCUCCCGGACACCUGGAAUACUGCUGAACGUUAAACACACCGCGCGAAGAGAGAAAGGCUACCAUGGUCGGUAAAGGAAAUCCAAUACGAACGGAUAUGUGACGAAACAAGAGGUGGGAUAAUCUUCGUGCCGCGCUGUCAGAACGUUCCAACUGACUUCAAUAUUUCGGACACCGUCGCAGUAAAUAUACAAUUAUACACUUGAUAUGACAAAUAUGUAUAUACACGUUACGAUACUUCGCAGCAACUGACGUAGUACCUAGAUACAAAUGUGUUUCAAGCGCGGAAACAUACUUAACCGAGAUACUGUACCUAGACAUGUGUUUACGCGUACGUUAUAUCUAGGUACCAGUACCUAGACGCGCCUUACACGAUAUACAGAUCUCGCUAACA